AUUUGAAAAAUUAUCGAAAGACAAGAUGUUGUAAUAAAAUGAGUGGACACUAAGAACAAUAUGGUAGACCUAUCCACUAAGAUCAUAUCACAACAGCUAUUUGAUCACCAUCUCGAUAGUAUGGGAUUGAGAUAUAAAGGAGAUUGAUUUUAGUACAAGUAGGAGAUUGAAAGAAGAGUGCCCUACAAGCCAAUCGUAUGAGUGAUGUGAUAGAAUUUAUCUUUAUAAUUCAACUCAUGUAAUGAUGUUAUUCAUUUAUUAACAAAAUAAGGUAUGAUUCAUCAUUUUAGCUAUAUCUUAUAUUUUUUUAAGAUUAUGAUGAACUCCAUAUCGAGAAUUAUGUCCCAAAGUCAAUCAUCAGUCUGUUGAUGGUUAAGCUUAUUAUUAUAAUUGUAUAUGAAUUAUUAAAUUAAUAAAUAUUAUUUGAUUUUUUCAUCACUGUGUACAUCUUAUUUUGAGCUCCUAUUAUGUGAUGAAGUUUUUAAGACUAUUUGUUUCGAUAUCGGAGGAUAUAUCGUUUAGUUCUUAAACUUUAAGUUCACAAUCAAAUAAUAUACUAUUAUUAGGACGAUAGCU
rnacentral:lncRNA from 1 species